GUUAUCCGGAUUUACUGGGUGUAAAGGGAGCGUAGACGGUAGACCAAGUCUGAAGUGAAAGCCCGGGGCUCAACCCCGGAACUGCUUUGGAAACUGGUAAACUAGAGUGCAGGAGAGGUAAGUGGAAUUCCUAGUGUAGCGGUGAAAUGCGUAGAUAUUAGGAGGAACACCAGUGGCGAAGGCGGCUUACUGGACUGUAACUGACGUUGAGGCUCGAAAGCGUGGGGAGCAAACAGGAUUAGAUACCCUGGUAGUCCACGCCGUAAACGAUGAUUACUAGGUGUCGGGGAGUUAAACUCUUCGGUGCCGCAGCCAACGCCAUACUUAAUCCACCUGGGGAGUACGUUCGCAAGAAUGAAACUCAAGGAAUUGACGGGGACC
rnacentral:rRNA from 1 species